CGAAACGUAUAACUCCCUUUGAGGGAGAGACUUUGAGGAAAAAUCGAUCCCCAACAUUAAAUUCUAAUUCCAAUCGGCGUUUAUCGGCGUAAGACUUUUGUCUAUCUUGAGUUUCUUUGAUUCUUUGCUUGAUGUGGUCGACUUUCUCAAUCAUCUGUUGGACCAGUUCAGGACCUAACAACAUUCUUUCACCCACUUCAUCUUAGUAAAGUGGUGAACUACCUUAAUUGUUUCCUUCGUCCUAAGUCACCUUCUCAGAUUUGACUAGGGAAUUCUAAUAUCAAACUUUUCUCAUCAUCUUGGUAACUUUCACUUAAAGAUUAAUGGCACUCCUUCUGCCAUGUAAACUCAUUUUCUCAUUUUCAAAUGAUUAUUUAAUGGGGGUUUCUAAGUUUCUAUUGUGGUGGCGUUCCAACUUUAUUCUUGCUGUAGCUUCUGGCACUUUAGCCAAAGCAUUCACUCUCUUAACUUGAGCCUACUAGCCUUGGGGUUGGGUUAUACCUUAAGUUUAGUUCUAGUGCUUUCCUUCCAUUUCCUUUUUCUUUACCUCCACCUUGAGGUGGUGUACAUAUCUUGUUUGUGCGUGAACUUUUUCCUUCUCCAAUUGUUGUAGUGACUCGGUGGUGAGAGUCUCGUUCAUUGCUUGUUCCUUCAUAAUAUCUCCCUAGUUUACUAGGGAAAUUGAAAAUCUCAUGCCGCGAUUUAUUUACGAACUCCUUUACUCAUUUCUCAUUAUUCAUUUAUAAAUGACUUAAAUAAGCAUUUUAAACUCCAUUAAAAUGGAAUUGAUUUAAAACAUUUUAAUCCUUUUAAAAAUCCAUACUCAUAAAGCCUUAACUCAUGCUCUAUCUCAUAUUCUAUCUCUUUACUCAACUUUAUAUAAACUCUCCACUCAUCUCAAAUCCUUAAGUUCAAGGAUAGGUUUCAAGAAAAUCAUGGUACUAAGUCUCGAUUUAUCUCUCAUAUAAGGCUCGUCUAAUCUCAUUCAACACAUAGACAACACAAUCACAUAAGGCACAUAAGAAAACACAAUCAAACAUUAUCAAAACAUGCUCUGUUUUUACACUGACUCAACUUCAAAAUCUAACCUGUUCUUACUCCGACACCUCCUGGACUCGAGACUCAUACCAAAAGAAAGGUCAUCGAGUCUAUUUUCAUAUAAAAAAAAGUAGAGUCAAAAACUCGAAGUAUUGUAGGAGAUAUGACUGUUUUACUACAGUCUACCAUAUUCGGCAGUUUUGAGCAAUCGAAAACUUGGAUUUUUGAAAAAUAGUAAAUGUUGUCAAACUGGGCUCACAUUUUGUGGAUAUCUAGCUAACACAAUAAGGUUAAUACCAUAAAAUUUUGGAAAGCUAGAUCACACAGGAAGCUACUGAAAUGAAUGACUCUUUCCCCUGCUCUCUGAAACUCUCGGUAGUAAUAUGCAGUUUCGGUUUUGUAUUUUAUAAAAAUAGUAAAUGAAGUCCAAAUGACUUGAAAUUUUACCGAUGUUCUCAAGACUCAUGUAGAGACUUGGUAUAAAAUUUUCAAAGCUUUUUGACAUUGAAAAACCGUCGAUCACAGUAGGUCAGUAGGCCUACGAAAUUCACCAAAAUCUCAUCUCAAACUCUUAAAAUACUCAACUCAACAUUCCUUCAAGGAAACUCAUCAAAGCUCAUUUUAAACACAUAUAACACUCACAAACAUUCAGGCACAUUAUAAUGCUCAUCAUACUCAAAUCUUGACUCUCUUCUUACAUCAUAACCUCAAAUCUCUAGUAAAACGUUUCAAUGAACGCAUCAUUAAAAUUCUCUUUUCAUUUUCAUGCACAAAAUUACUCAAUUAUUCAAACAUGAUCUCAUUCAUCAUAUAACUCAUUAUACACAUAUAGAUUCCCUUUUAUCAUGUACUAAACUCUAAUGAAACUUCAUGUAUCAUCAUAAAACUCUUAAUAAAACAUGACAAACUUUCACAUAAUGGUCAUAAAGCAAUUAAACCUCAUUUUAUCAAUCAUCGACUUCUCAAAAUAUGAAAACUCAAAAACUCAUAUAAACUAAACUAAGUCAAAAAUUUCUUAGCCAACAAAAGACUUACUCAAACAUAAUUAUACACUAAUAUCAUGCUCAAAUACAUAUAUCUUAAGCCAAAAUCACUUAAAUAACACUUAGGCAAAAAGUCCUAAUUUUAUUAAACUAAACUCUUUUGAAAAUAUCACUAAUCAUGUAUAACCUAUUUAUCAAAUCAUAGUUCUAACAUCCUAGGUUACCAAUUAGCACAAAUCAACAUCAUAAAACAAGAUCACAUAUAGAUACAUAUGUAUGUCAUCUUCUUCCUCAAACUAACACUUUUCAUUUUUCAUUUCUCAACCUCAAGCUUCAAUCUCAUCCAUCAUUAAUCAUCUAGAUCAUCUCAUAAACUCAAAUCCAUCAUCAAUACAUCAAUUGAUUCAUAGGAUCUCAACAUCCCAAUUUUAGGUAAACUAACCUAAUAGAAAAAUCUAUAUCUCAUGGCUAAUCAUCAAGAUAUUCAUAUAUAUUAACUCAAUAAUCAUCAAUCAUCAUAUAACUCAAGCCAAUUCAAGAAAACAAAUAACAAAAUUUCGUAGGGUUUCAAGCCCCUAAUUUUUGAAAAUUUCAUAGAAAUAAGUUGGGUGAUUUUCUUGCUCAAUCAUGAUCAUAUACUCAUACUUUUCUUAUUUUUUUUUUUUUUGUUAAACUAAACUCAAUCGACUUUCACAUCUCAAAGCAUAUACUUUCACAACACACAUCAAUCAUCAACAAACACCACAUAGAUCUCAUUUUUUUUUUUUCCCAAAUCAAGGAAAGAAAAAGAAAAUUUUUGAAGGGUAAAGACCCAUUUUUUUUUGAAAAUUUUAAGAACAAGGGAGAGGUGAUUUUCUUUCUUCAUACAACAUCAUUCAAGCAAGAUUUAUGGAAUACAUGACCACUUACCCAAAUUUCUCACCAAAACUCACAUUUUCUCACUCUAGCUUGGAAGCCUUUCUUCAAUGAUUCUCUUGAAUAUAAGUAGCUAGGAUGUGUUUAUGGAAGAUUUUAGAGUGGAUUGAGGUGUUUUGUAAAAUUUUUUGGAAGCUCCGAAGGUCUCUUCAAUGGAGGAAAAUGGAGGAAAGUGAGAGAAAGAGGGAGAGAGGUGUUGGUCGAAAAUGAUGAGUGAGGAGUGAGAGAGGAUUUUGCAAGAUUGUAAAUGAUCUUGUGAUCUUUAAAGAGGAUUUUGUAAUCUUAAGGAAAUAUUGGCAAUUAAUGCCUUGAUCUCUCUAAUCUCUACACUCUCUCUCUAAUCUCUACACUCUCUCAAUAAUCUCUACACUCUCUCAAUAAUCUUACACUUGGCAAAUUGUGGUAUUUAGUCACAUGGUAGGGAAAUUAAAGUAAUAGUGUGAGAAGGGUGAUCAAAAAUAAUUCACAAAAACUAUGGAAAUGUACUAAUUAAUAAAAUACCAAUACAUAAUUAUUCAUGUGACCACAUAAAAUAAUUAUAGCACUAAUAUUAGUGCACUCACUCAAUUAUAAUAUUCCUCUCAUAGGAAAAAUAAUUUUAAAACAAAAUAUAUGCUUGGAAAUAUUUUCAUAAACCGGCAUUCUUUGAUUUCUCGGUAAAAAUAAACUGCACUUGCUUUGAAAACUUAAUUAAAAUUCCAAGUGCUAAAAUCAUCAAAUAAAAAUCAUAAUAACUUGCUCACAAUGACAUACGUAACAAAACUUCACAUAAUCAAUCAGUCACGUAAUUUCACAUAAUAUUACGUCAAAGCAGUCGACAAACACAGACAAACUAGACGUCUCUCCGACCGACUUUUUUUUUUUUAUUCAAGGUUUUUUUUUUUUUUCACUCUUUCUUUCUCGACUCUAUUUCCAACUCAUUAUUCCUAUUUUCUUAAUAGGACAGUCAAUCUCUCUGACAUCUCAGUACUCUCAAUAGUGUUAAGACACUAUCUCACAACAUAGGGAAAAGUACGGGGUGUUACAUGUACUAUCAAAUUUAGAUAAAAUUCAUGACUUCAUGCAUAAUUUAAAAUUCAUGUGGCUCAUAUAAAUACAUUUAACUCACCAAUUAAAACUUAUGCACCACAUUUAUAAAAAUUUUCCUUUAACUAAGCACAUUAAAACACAUAUAUAAUGAUUAAAUCACAUCAGAUAAAUCAAACCAGUUUUUAUUAUAAAUGGAUGCCGAAUCCUAAUUAUUAAUAAUUAAGCCCUUAAUCAGGAAUUAAAAGUCGGGGUAUGACAUACUAUCCACUUUAAAAGAAAUUUCGUCACGAAAUUUGUACCACAGAAAAUAAUUCUGGGUACUUCUCAUUCAUGCUAAACUCGAGUUCUCACGUCGCCUCUUCUUGGUCAUGGUGCUUUCAAAGAACUAUUACUAAAGGUAUCGACUUAUUCCUUAGUACUUUAACUUUCCGAUCUAGAAUAGAUUCGGGUCUCUCCUCAUAUCAAUUGGAUUCCUAAUUCCAAUUUAUAUACAUGAGAUUUACUUGAGAAUAAGUUCCCUCGUCCUUUUGCGGCGGUUCAUUACUCCUACCUCAUUCCUAGGGCUCAUCUACGG
rnacentral:lncRNA from 1 species